UUGCUGUGCCUUUUGUGGUAAAAAAAUAUAAAAAAAGAGAGAAAAAAAUAUAGAAAGGUUAACUUGUACUGAAAGCCCUGACAUUAAUUUUUUCCCAAUACUGUACACAUACAUCGUGGAGCCGUUAAUGUCUGAAUGUUCCCUAAUCAUACAAGAACAUAAAACUAAAAUGCUUUGUAGCCUUGGUUUAGGACCCUCAAGAAAACAACAAAACUAUAACAGACACAAUAAAGAGCUGUGAGAUUUAUAGAAAAUGAAAAUUCACUUGAGUAACAUAAUUAGUAAAAUCACUAAAUUUAGAGACAGUUCAGGACUGAAGAAUAAAAAUUAAGUAGCAAUAAUACAUAAAACAAGAAAACAUAAUUUACAAAUUCACAAAAUAAAGGCACAUUUCUGAUUCCAUAUGCUAUGAUAAAUUUUUACAAUUAGUCCUUUUUCCCUAUAACCAUUAGAAUGGGUUGCCUGAAUCAGCCAUGAAACCAUUGAUUUAGCAGAGUUCAAAUCGUUACCGUAAUCAACUUGCAUGUCGACUAUGAAUACUCAUAGGAGAAUUUACAGUAGAGCAAGAAAUACUUCAGGUGAAACAAGAAUUUAAUCAAAUUACUUAAUCACAAUUUAGAAAAUUCUAGAAGGUUUCUUAGGUCUUCACUGUGUAAGAAGCAAGAAUUGUGAACUUGAAUUGUUCAUAAAUUGUAGAGUGAUAUAGAAUUUAUUUCUAUGGCUUUGUCUUGAAAUUGUAUGUGUGCUUAUUCAUUUUAUGAUUCAACUUGGAUUAUUAAAAUAUUUUAUUCUUAAAA